GACGAACCGUGCGAACGUUGUUCGGAAUCACUGGGCUUAAAGGGCGCGUAGGCGGGCUCACAAGUCAGGGGUGAAAUCCCACGGCUCAACCGUGGAAGUGCCUUUGAUACUGUGGGUCUUGAGGGAGGUAGGGGCGUGCGGAACUUCCGGUGGAGCGGUGAAAUGCGUAGAUAUCUGGAGGAACACCGGUGGCGAAGGCGGCAUCCUGGACCAACACUGACGCUGAGGAGCGAAAGCCAGGGGAGCAAACGGG
rnacentral:rRNA from 1 species